rnacentral:rRNA from 1 species
GAUGAACGCUGGCGGCGUGCUUAACACAUGCAAGUCGAGGGGCAGCAUGAUUGAACUUUCGGGUUCGAUUGAUGGCGACCGGCGCAAGGGUGCGUAACGCGUGAGCAACUUGCCCGUUUCAGGGGGAUAACCGGUGGAAACGCCGACUAAUACCCCAUAGUAUCAUGAUCAGGCAUCUGUUAUCAAUUAAAGAAUUUCGGAAACGGAUAGGCUCGCGUGACAUUAGCUAGACGGCGGGUAACGGCCCACCGUGGCGACGAUGUCUAGGGGUUCUGAGAGGAAGGUCCCCCACACUGGAACUGAGACACGGUCCAGACUCCUACGGGAGGCAGCAGUGAGGAAUACUUGGUCAAUGGUCUGACGACUGAACCAGCCAUGCCGCGUGAAGGUCACGGCCCUAUGGGUCUUAAACUUCUUUUGCAAGGGAGCAAUAAGCCUCACGUGUGGGGCGAUGAGAGUACCUUGCGAUAAGCAUCGGCUAACUCCGUGCCA